rnacentral:ncRNA from 1 species
GGUAGCAAUAACAGGUCCGUGAUGCCCUUUAGAUGCUCUGGGCUGCACGCGUGCUACAAUGUUAGGAUCAAUAGGACUGCGAGCCUGAGAGGGUGCGCUACUCUUAUAAUCCCUAACGUAGUUGGGAUUGACGUUUGUAAUCAGCGUCAUGAACCAGGAAUCCCUUGUAAAUGUGUGUCAACAACGCACGUUGAAUACGUCCCUGCCCUUUGUACACACCGCCCGUCGCUCCUACCGAUUGGAUGACUCGGUGAAAUCACCGGAUGCUUACGAGCAGAAAGUGAUUAAAUCACGUUAUCUAGAGGAAGGAGAAGUCGUAACAAGGUAACGGUAGGUGAACCUGCCGUUGGAUCAGUU